rnacentral:lncRNA from 1 species
ACAUGAGGCCAACCGGGAACCAUGUGAGAGAGCUUAAGGCAGAUUCUCUGAAGCCACACCAGGAUUCCUGACCACAAAGUCUCUGACAUGAGAAAUGUUUCUCUAGAAAUAUCCUGGAAAAAUAGCUUCUCUUGUCCCUGAGAGACAGCCCCAUGGCAGAGCAGCAAAAGAGGACCAGUGCUCCACCUUGGUGAAAUACAAGAUGACUGGGGUGAAG